rnacentral:misc_RNA from 1 species
GGAAGGAUCAUUAACACGUAUCCAAGUCUUUAUGACUUAAAGUGUGCCGCUUGCGGUGCAUUUUUACCCCAAUUAACUGUUUGUCUGUGACCCUACAUGCGUAGCUUGCUAUGCAUAAACAUUUAAUCUUUACAACUUUUAGCAAUGGAUAUCUUGGUUCUCGUAACGAUGAAGAACGCAGCGAAAUGCGAUACGUAAUGCGAAUUGCAGAACUCAGUGAAUCAUCAAAUCUUUGAACGCAAAUUGCGCUUCGGAGUAAUACUUCGAAGCAUGUCUCUUUCAGAAUCGUUUACAAACCAUCUCGGCUGCGUGCAUGCCGGAAAAUGAGCGUCAGCAAUGUCGCUUUAAGUAUCGGACGCAUUGCACUAUAGCAAUUUGCGUGUUUGAUCAAGGUAGAUUCUAUCAUGGAUUGAACGCCAGUUGUUGUAGUACUCUAAUUGCGUCGUCACCAAUUCUGCGCAAGCGGAAUAACACCAAAACUUCGAUCUGAAAUGAGAUAAGAGUACCCGCUGAACUUAAGCAUAUCAAUAAGCGGAGGAAAAGAAACUAACAAGGAUUCCCUCAGUAGCGGCGAGUGAAGUGGGAAGAGCUCAGUUUGAAAAUCGGAAGGCUUGCUUUCCGAAUUGUAGUCUAGAGAACUAUUGCCAGCGUGUGGUCCCGGUCUAAGUCUUUUGGAAUAAGGCAUCAUAGAGGGUGAGAAUCCCGUCUAUGGCUGGGAGUCCGCCGCGUACGGCAUAGUUUCCAAGAGUCGGGUUGUUUGGGAAUGCAGCCCUAAUUGGGUGGUAAAUUCCAUCUAAAGCUAAAUAUUUACGAGAGACCGAUAGCGAACAAGUACCGUGAGGGAAAGAUGAAAAGGACUUUGAAAAGAGAGUUAAAAGUGCUUGAAAUUGCUAAAAGGAAAAGCGAUGGAAAUCAGUCGCUGCAUUUGGGUAUACUUCUCGUUCGUCUAGAGAUAUCCUGUUGGUUUGUGAGUUAACUCCACGGCUAAUAGGUUGUCGAUAGAUGGGCGAUUCCUGUGCUCAAGUGUGGGUCAAAAUCAAUUCGUUGGGCAAUAGCGCCAGUAGGAAGGUAAUGGGAAUCUGCUUGCAGUGAACCACGUUAUAGCCUAUUGGAUGCUUUGUUUGGUGGAUUGAGGUGGUGCUUACCGGCAUCCCGGAGUGGACAAGGGUGCGUCUUUUGUUGCGUUCUUGCUUGGAGACAGCAUAGCUGUGUCCGAGUGGAGAGUGUGGCAUUUGAGGCGUAAUACUUGCUGCUUCGGCGAUUUUGACGAAAUGGUUUUCAUCGACCCGUCUUGAAACACGGACCAAGGAGUCUAAAGUAUAUGCGAGUAUUUGGGUGUGUUAAACCCUGAUGCGUAAUGAAAGUAAAGGUGAGCAGAUAGUUCACCGAGGUGGGAUUCUCUCUUAGGAGAGAUGCACCAUCGACCGAUCGGUCACUUGUGGCUGAUUUGAGUAAAAGCAUACCCUUUAGGACCCGAAAGAUGGUGAACUAUGCCUGGACAGGGCGAAGCCAGGGGAAACUCUGGUGGAGGCUCGUAGCGAUACUGACGUGCAAAUCGUUCGUCUGAUCUGGGUAUAGGGGCGAAAGACUAAUCGAACCAUCUAGUAGCUGGUUCCCUC